UCUCCUGGAAACGGGUGGUAAUGCCGGAUGCUCCAGCUGACCGCAUGGUCUGUUGGGAAAGCUUUCGCGGUAUGGGAUGGGGUCGCGUCCUAUCAGCUUGACGGCGGGGUAACGGCCCACCGUGGCUUCGACGGGUAGCCGGCCUGAGAGGGCGACCGGCCACAUUGGGACUGAGAUACGGCCCAGACUCCUACGGGAGGCAGCAGUGGGGAAUAUUGCACAAUGGGCGCAAGCCUGAUGCAGCGACGCCGCGUGAGGGAUGGAGGCCUUCGGGUUGUAAACCUCUUUUAUCGGGGAGCAAGCGAGAGUGAGUUUACCCGUUGAAUAAGCACCGGCUAACUACGUGCCAGCAGCCGCGGUAAUACGUAGGGUGCAAGCGUUAUCCGGAAUUAUUGGGCGUAAAGGGCUCGUAGGCGGUUCGUCGCGUCCGGUGUGAAAGUCCAUCGCUUAACGGUGGAUCCGCGCCGGGUACGGGCGGGCUUGAGUGCGGUAGGGGAGACUGGAAUUCCCGGUGUAACGGUGGAAUGUGUAGAUAUCGGAAAAGAACACCA
rnacentral:rRNA from 1 species